rnacentral:rRNA from 1 species
CCUACGGGAGGCUGCAGUGAGGAAUAUUGGUCAAUGGGCGCGAGCCUGAACCAGCCAAGUCGCGUGAAGGAUGACUGCCCUACGGGUUGUAAACUUCUUUUAUAAAGGAAUAAAGUGAGGCACGUGUGCCUUUUUGUAUGUACUUUAUGAAUAAGGAUCGGCUAACUCCGUGCCAUCAGCCGCGGUAAUACGGAGGAUCCGCGCGUUAUCCGGAGUUAUUGGGUUUAAAGGGAGCGUAGAUGGGUUGUUAAGUCAGUUGUGAAAGUUUGCGGCGCAACCGUAAAAUUGCAAUUGAUACUGGCAGUCUUGAGUACAGUUGAGGUAGGCGGAAUUCGGGGUGUAGCGGUGAAAUGCUUAGAUAUCACGAAGAACUCCGAUUGCGAAGGCAGCUUACUAAACUGCCACUGACAUUGAUGCUCGAAAGUGUGGGUAUCAAACAGGAUUAGAUACCCUUGUAGUC